rnacentral:rRNA from 1 species
UAGCUCAGUAUACGUGGAUAUCUGCCCUAUGGCGGAGGAUAACCCCGGGAACUGGGGAUAAUACUCCAUAAGUCAGGAGUACUGGAAUGUCUCCUAACUGAAAGUUUCGGCGCCAUAGGAUGAAUCUGCGGCCGAUUAGGUAGUUGUUGGGGUAACGGCCCAACAAGCCCGUAAUCGGUACGGGUUGUGGGAGCAAGAGCCCGGAGAUGGAAUCUGAGACACGAUUCCGGGCCCUACGGGGCGCAGCAGCGCGAAAACUUUACAAUGCAGAAACUGUGAUAAGGGACCCCGAGUGCCGUACACGCGGGCUGUCCCGGUGUUUAAACACAUCGGAGAAGGGCCGGGCAGACCGGUGCAGCCGCGCGGUAAUACCGGCGGCUCGAGUGUGACCACUUUAUUGGGCUAAAGCGUCGUAGUUGAUUUUAGUCUCUGGGAAUCUCACGG